AAUUUUAAAGCGAAAUAAGGGCGCAUGGUGGAUGCCUUGGGUCUGAGAGGCGAAGAAGGACGUGGUAAGCUGCGAUAAGCCAAGGGGAGCUGCACACGAGCGAUACAUCCUUGGAUUUCCGAAUGGGACAACCUAGCUAGUUGAAGACUAGUUAUCCGAAAGGAAGCCAACUCCGAGAACUGAAACAUCUAAGUACCGGAAGGAAAAGAAAAUAACAAUGAUUCCCUGAGUAGUGGCGAGCGAAAAGGGAAGAGCCCAAACCGGGGUGGCGUGCUGCCCCGGGGUUGUAGGACUGCGUUUAGAAAGCAUUGUCAAGCAGAAUCAUCUGGAAAGAUGGGCCAUAGCAGGUGAUAGCCCUGUAAGCACAAAUCAAUGUAGACGAGCAGUAUCCUGAGUAGCGCGGGACCGGAGAAAUCUUGCGUGAAACUGCCAGCACCAUCUGGUAAGGCUAAAUACUCCUCAGACACCGAUAGUGAACCAGUACCGUAAGGGAAAGGUGAAAAGCACCCCGAACAGGGGAGUGAAAUAGAACCUGAAACCGUGCGCCUACAAGCGGUCGGAGCCAGCAAUGGUGACGGCGUGCCUUUUGCAUAAUGAGCCUACGAGUUACUCCUCACUGGCGAGGUUAAGUUCAUAAUUAACGGAGCCGCAGCGAAAGCGAGUCCAAACAGGGCGGAUAGUCAGUGGGGGUAGACGCGAAACUUUGUGAUCUAUCCAUGAGCAGGAUGAAGUUCUGGUAACACAGAAUGGAGGUCCGAACUCAUUAGCGUUGAAAAGCUAUGGGAUGACUUGUGGAUAGGGGUGAAAGGCCAAUCAAACUGAGAGAUAGCUCGUUCUCCCCGAAAUGUUUUUAGGAACAGCCUCAGAUAUAGACGUUUACUAGAGGUAGAGCUACUGAUUGGGCUAGGGGGCUUCACCGCCUACCAAACCCUGACAAACUCCGAAUGCUAGUAAAUAUCUCUGGGAGUGAGGCUGCGGGCGCUAAGGUCCGUGGCCGAGAGGGAAAUAACCCAGAUUAGCAGCUAAGGUCCCUAAUCGUAUGUUAAGUUGAUCAAACGAGGUGGAGUUUCAAUAACAGCCAGGAUGUUGGCUUGGAAGCAGCCAUUCAUUUAAAGAGUGCGUAACAGCUCACUGGUCGAGAGACUCUGCACGGAAAAUAAUCGGGCAUCAAACAUACAACCGAAGCUCUAGGAUCAGCAAUGAUCGGUAGGGGAGCAUUCUAACAGCAUCGAAGGUGUAUCGCGAGGUAUGCUGGAGCGGUUAGAAAAGAAAAUGUAGGCAUAAGUAACGAUAAUUAAAGUGAAAAACUUUAACGCCGUAAGUCUAAGGGUUCCUGAUCAACGUUAAUCGGAUCAGGGUUAGUCGGGUCCUUAGGUGAACCCGAAAGGGGCAACUGAUGGAAAACUGGUUAAUAUUCCAGUACCCGCUAUAGUUUCGAUGGGGUGACGGGGAAGUGAAAGGUCCGCGAUCUUACGGAAUAGAUCGUUAAAGCGUGUAGCUAUAUUCCAAACAGGUAAAUCCGUUUGGGAUGGUGAACGUGACAGUACCGCAAAGCUUCGGCAGCGCGGAUAGUGACCCUAAACAAGCCUCCGAGAAAAACCUCUAAGGUUAGGCUAUAGCGGCCCGUACCGCAAACCGACACAGGUAGACGGGAUGAAUAUUCUAAGGCGCUCGGGUGAGCCGUGGAGAAGGAACUAGGCAAAUUGACGCUGUAACUUCGGGAUAAAGCGUACCAUAGCGAUAUGGUCUCAGUAAAAUGCUUCAACCAACUGUUUAACAAAAACACAGGGCCCUGCAAAAUCGUAAGAUGACGUAUAGAGCCUGAUACCUGCCCGGUGCUGGAAGGUUAAGGAAGGGUGUUCGACGCAAGUCAAAGCUCCUGACUGAAGCCCCAGUAAACGGCGGCCGUAACUAUAACGGUCCUAAGGUAGCGAAAUUCCUUGUCGGGUAAGUUCCGACCUGCACGAAUGGUCUAAUGAGUUGAAGACUGUCUCCUCCACGAGCCCGGUGAAAUUGUAGUAUCGGUGAAGAUGCCGGUUACCCGCCACGGGACGGAAAGACCCCGUGAACCUUCACUACAACUUUGCAUUGAUUUUGAGUUAUAGAUGUGUAGGAUAGUUGGGAGACUUUGAUCCUGCCUCGCCAGGGGUAGGGGAGUCGUCGUUGAAAUACCAACCUUCUGUCACUUAGAGUCUAACCCCUAACGGGGGACAUUGCAUGGUGGGUAGUUUGACUGGGGUGGUCGCCUCCUAAAGAGUAACGGAGGCUCGCAAAGGUUCCCUCAGUACGGUUGGUAAUCGUACGCAGAGCGCAUUAGUAUAAGGGAGCUUGACUGUGAGGCAAACAAGCCGAGCAGGUGCGAAAGCAGGCUAAAGUGAUCCGGCGGUUCUGUAUGGAAGGGCCGUCGCUCAAAGGAUAAAAGGUACUCCGGGGAUAACAGGCUGAUCUCCCCCAAGAGCUCAUAUCGACGGGGAGGUUUGGCACCUCGAUGUCGGUUCGUCACAUCCUGGGGCUGGAGAAGGUCCCAAGGGUUCGGCUGUUCGCCGAUUAAAGUGGCACGUGAACUGGGUUCAGAACGUCGCAAGACAGUUCGGUCCCUAUCUGUGGUGGGCGCAAGUUAAUUGAGAGGACAUGACCUUAGUACGAGAGGACCGGGUCGUACGUACCGCUGGUGUAUCUGUUGUGCCGCCAGGUGCAAUGCAGAGUAGCUAUGUACGGACAGGAUAAACGCUGAAAGCAUCUAAGCGUGAAACCUUCCUCAAGAUGAGUUAACUUUUAAGGGUCGUCAGAGACGAUGACGUUGAUAGGCUACAGGUGUAAAGGUGGUAACAUCAAAGCCGAGUAGUACUAAUUGCCCGUAAGCUUUAAUUUU
rnacentral:rRNA from 1 species